rnacentral:rRNA from 1 species
UGUCGUUGUUGGCCCCCCUACCUGUGUUUUAGGUUGGUACUUUCCAGUGCUGUCUUCUUACUCUGGAAUCGGGGUGAUUCUCUGAUCUAUCAACCUGACGGUACGGUCCUGGGUGGCUCCAAUGGCACUUUUGCCCUGCUAACACCGGGCACCGUCAUUGAACACCGGGUGGUGGUCUCAUUGCUGGGCCGGGUGCGUACUGAAGUGAUCAACCCCUGAAACGAAACGGGUUCCAUCGGGAUGGGACCUGACCACAAUUCUUAAAGAGGUUGCCGUAACACACUGGGACUGAGACACGGCCCACACUCCUACGGGAGGCAGCAGUGGGGAAUAUUGGACAAUGGGGGCAACCCUGAUCCAGCCAUGCCGCGUGUGUGAAGAAGGCCUUCGGGUUGUAAAGCACUUUCAGCUGUGAGGAAAGGCGAGUGGUUAAUACCCGCUUGCUGUGACGUUAACUGCAGAAGAAGGACCGGCUAACUCCGUGCCAGCAGCCGCGGUAAUACGGAGGGUGCGAGCGUUAAUCGGAAUUACUGGGCGUAAAGCGCGCGUAGGUGGUUCAGUCAGUCAGA